GGCGGACGUAGCCAAGUGGACCAAGGCAGUGGAUUUGAAUCCACC
rnacentral:tRNA from 2 species